UUAUUGUUUAGUGCUCUAGUAAAGUAAUGGAACUGAUUUUCACUAAAGAAAAGGAGAUAAUUCGUAUGUGUUUUUUACAUGGCACUUCUUGAGUCAGGACAUCUACUUGAUGUUAUUGUUUGCCUUUAUCGACUAUACCUUUUUCUUUAGUCACUGAAUAACUAUUAACAGUAAAAAAAAUUUAAGGGGUCAGCUUGACCUGUACAUUUUUAAUUUAAUCAUGUCUCUUCAUAAAUAGCUUCAAUAAUAUUUGAAUGGAGCUAUAUUAUGGUUGUAACUAAAACUUCAUAUUAGUCACCGGUGACAUUGUGCCCAAAAAUUCUGUUGUUAUAAUUGACAAUGCCUAAGAGUCUCCUAUUCAUAAACUUAUCAGGCUAUCUCCUUUACUAACGAGUAAUUCAAUUUUGUUUUCAGUAUCUCGUUGAUUUUCCAGGGGUUAGGGGAAUAGGUAAACCAGAUGAGACAGGAUUAUAACUAUUUUUCCAACUGUCUUUUUUAUAUGUAGCUGAGAUAAACGAUCUCUUGUUCUUGAUUAACCGAUGCCCUUAAAUUUACUCUUUCUUUACUUGUAAUUGUAAACAUGCUUUUAUAAAAUUGAUUUGUAUCGUUUCCCUUGGAGGAUGUGACGUACUUAUAAUCUUAAUCGCCUCUAGUACACACAUAGAUUCUUGCGAAGAAAAAAUUAAAAAAACUAAGAAUCCAAUAGACAUGUUCUUAAGGUUCUGUUUCCUGAACAGUUUUUUUACUCGAGUUUCCGUCCUCAGAGAGCCAUGCCCUUGUGUUUUAUGUGCUCAAGUGUUUUCUCCAACUCCAAUGUGUGCAUUGAUAUACUAACACUAUGUUUGAUGAGGGGGAAAAGUUGAGGCAUGGACAAGAGAGGAGGGAAACGAGUGAGAGAGGUCAAAUCCUCUUGUUUGGCCAGAAGAAUCAUAGGAAAGAAAGGAAAAUUGGGAGGAUAACAAAUCCACUCAAAUGAACCAUUUAAAAUCCUUUAAUAGAAGGAUUGAUGCUUUCCAUUCUAAUUUAUUCAAAAUUACAAAAUUGUCCUCUAAAGAAAAAAAUAAUUAUGAAAAUAUUUUAGUAGUUUCUUGAAUAAAUAGUGACUUAUUAUUCC